CAGCUGCGAAUGGACAGACUGACUGCAACUCCGUCGAACUAUUCAACAGCUUGGUACAGAGAAAACCAAUAGUGAGCAAUAGAUGGGUAAAACAGUCCCUGCUUGCUGGUACCACACUUGAUAUGGAGAACUUCAUGGUCACCAAGAUUUGUCAAUAUGGAGAAAUCUGUCAUGAAAUUGAUUACCAAGGAUUUGAGUUUGAAUUAAGGGGAGACACAUGGGUUGAUAUAACCAAAGGUCAGCUUUUGAGACUUAUUAAGGAUAUUGGCGGCAUCCCAGUUAUCAACUCAACAGAAGAUACAGUUGUUGUGUGUGCAGACAACAUGUUGCAUACUUCAAGUCAAUGUGUAACCAAAGAGUGGGUGUUCAGGUGCAUUGUGGAAGGAAAGAUGGUAUCAUUGAAUGAACAGACAACGGAUGGGGACAUUGUUUAUGAUAUCGAUGAAUUAUGUGUGAUUAAUGAACCACUGAAGAAAGUAAUUGUAGCAAUGUCAGGGUCAGCUAAUGGGAAAGUCCGGUCACAAAAAGCCCAAUGUUGCAUAUACUGCGAAAAGCUAGAUUACAAGUUACAUAGACACCUUGAGCAACAACACUCCAAUGAAAUUGAAGUAGCUAAGAUUCUCAACAUGCCAAAGAGAUCCAAAGAAAGGAGACGGGCAUGGGCAGCCAUAACUGCCAAGGGUAAUAAUCUGCACAAUUCAAAAGUAAAAGAAAAAGGGAUGGGUAUCCUAAUACCUAAGUACAGACAGAGCAAAGAACAAGAUAGAAAGAAAUAUCUGAUCUGUGAGUUCUGUAGGAUGCUUAUCGUUUCGACAGACCUAUACAAACACCACAGAAGUUGUGUCAGUAAGCCUGACGGAGUAAAAAGCGAUGCCCCAGUAAAUAAUUCUAAACUGUUAAAAGCAUGUGCCUCUACUGAAAAAGCAGGAAUAAAAAAUUUUACAAAAAGGUUAUUGUCAACAUGAGAGAGGACAAGAUUGGUAACUAUGCCAAAUCUGACAGUCUGAUUUUACAAUUUGGUGAAAGAAGAUUUGAAAAAACGGGAAAAUCAGAAAAUUCUUAUUCCCAUAUUUCUUGUUGUAUGCGCGAGUUGGCUAGAUUGGCUAUAAAAUUACCCGCAUAUAGACAAUUUGACAAAAUGCAUUCAGCCAAUCAUGUGGACUCUCCUUGAAACAAUAAAAAAUGUUGCAGGGUUCGAAGCAAGAACCUGUUCUUAUGCGUCACCGUCUUACGUUGAAAAAAUAGGAAGUAGUUUAAAAAAAGUUGCCAAAAUGCUUCGCACAAAAGCAUCAGAGGUGGAAGAUGGGGAGCAGGAAGAGAGAAUGUCCCGAUUUAUAAAAUGUUACGAUGACGAAUAUCAUGAAAGAAUGGUCUUUAUGGCCAAAGAAUCAAUGGCUAUUGAAAGGUUUAAUAACCAAAAACUUUUACCCAUCGUCAAGCAUGUUGUUAAGCUUAACACUUCCGAAAUGAAGCCAGCAUAUUAAGAUCCAGUGCAACAACUGAUCUCAGCACCCCAGCUGAUCUCAAAGAGAUUUAUUCGUCACUUUGCAAAGUUUCCUUAGCAGAGGUAAUACUUUUAAACCGAAAGAGAUCCGGAGAGACGGAAAGACUGAAAACGGAUGAUUUCGUAAAGGGCUCUUUUAAUGACGUUGUGGAUAAAGAUAUAUCAGAAACAUUAAGCAAAUUUGAAAGGCAUUUGUGUAAAUCUCAUUAUAGGAUAGAGACGCGGGGAAAAAGCCUCAAACGAGGCAGGCGAGUAUCAAUCCUCCUAACAAAAGAGAUGAAGGAAAACCUGGACACACUACUUAGAUUGCAGUCUAAGCUUCAAAUAGAGUCUAAGUACGUAUUCAUGAGACCAAGUGGAAGAAAGCCAUACAGAGGCAAUGAUUUACUGAAUAAGGCGACUGAGAAAGCAAAGGUCACACAUGCUUCACCAAUAACUUCAACAAGUUUACGCAAACAACUGGCAACUUUGUCUCAAGUUUUGAAUCUUACAGAGAGCAGCCAAGACAUACUAGCCACAUUUAUGGGACACGAUAUACGUACACAUAGGGAAUACUAUAGACUACCAGAAGGGACACUAGAAGUAUCAAAAGUUUCCAAGAUCCUACAUCAAUUGAAUAUGGGAAAAAUCACACAGACGGAUGCUGCACAACUUUAUGGAAACCAAACCAUAAUUGACAAGGAAACAACAGUAAGCGAUGAGGAAGCUUCAAGUGAUGAGGAUGUUGAAGACUGAUGACCAGCAUAAUGAAGAAAAUAGAGGAGGUGUCUGGGUUUCAACCUCAAUAUGGAUAUCAAGGAGCAGGGUAUGACACGGAUGAUGAUGAUAAUAUGGGUGAUCCAGAUUGAAUUUACAAUAAAAGAAAGCUUGCUCCAGACAGUGAAGACUCGGAUGAGGACUUAAAAAGGCAAACAAAGAAAAACAGAAAUAACAGUGUUGAUGUACAGAAGACACACUGGUCAGCCAAGGAAUCAUGUUCUGUGAAUAGCAAGAAUGUUACUUGAGCCAGGGAAUCAUGUUCUGUGAAUAGCAAGAAUGUUGCUUGAGCCAGGGAAUCAUGUUCUGUGAAUAGCAAGAAUGUUACUUGAGCCAGACACUGAAACUGUACUAGCCUCAUUGUUGUCUAGGUGGAAGUAACUGGGGUUGAAAUAGUUGUCUAGUGGGCAGCAGAAAUGGAACCCUAGCCGGAGGCUGGACAUGUGCUGACAUCCAAUUUGUCAAGGUGGAAGUGACUGUGCUUGGAAUAGGUGUCUAGUGAGCAAUAACAAUGGAGCUCAAGUCAGACACUUAACAUGUACUAACCUCCCUCCUGUUGAGGUGGAACUGACUGUGCCUUUAAUAGUUGUCUAGUGAGCAACAUAAAUGGAACUCUAGCCAGACGCUAAACAAGUACUAACAUCCAAUUUGUCUAGAUGGAAAUGACUGUGGUUGGAAUAGUUGUUUAGUGUGUAGUGGAAAUAGAACUUAAGUUAAACAGUGGACUUGUAUUGACCUCACUCCAGUUUGGGUGGAAGUGCCUGUGCUUGGGAUAGCUGUCCAGUCAUGAAUUACAAGCCAAAUCUUGUCAGGUAAAAUUACAUAGAUAUCAAUAACAGCCGCAGCCUCAGUGGCAUGCAGCCCAAUCACAGAUUGCGUGCUCAACUGAGGUUAAGUUCUUAGAUGUGUGCUAUUGUGAUCAGUCACUGUCUGCUUUUAAAUGUGUGUUGCCUGUCGUGUUUUGGUAACACAGGAAAGAAGUUUAAAAAAACUGGACAUGCGUUCUGAGUUCUCACCCAUUUGAGAAACAAUCCAUAUGUGAUACUGUGUGUUGUAAAUUUGUGCUGAACAUUGUAAUUUUAGACAAAUAUUCAUUUCAGUGUUGUUAGUAGCAAGUUGGUCUUAGCAAUUAUCAAGUCAUUAAGAAGCCUGUUAAUUAUUACUUGUAUGAACUGGGUUAAAUUAUUGUGAAUGAAUAUUUAAUUAAUUCCAUAAAUUUAACACCAACAUUAAAGCAAGUUAAUGACAUGUUCAUGUCUUUAGUUCAUGUCUAAAAGCGUAUGCCGUAUGUAUUUCAGUUUUAUAUAGACAUUAAGAACUUCUAAAAUUCCAUAAAGUGAUUGAAAAUCUCAAUUUAACUUAUAAUUCUUGGACAAACAUAGUUUGGUACAGUAUUUUAAUUUUGAGUGGUCUCCCUUGGACUUGCUUAACUGAGUCAACUUGUAUAUGUCACUUUCAUUUCGUUAACCAAUCCCUUAAAUAAUGUGAAAAUGCCAUGAGGUUGGAUUAAAUGGACAGUCAACAAGAUUGAGGAAAAAAAAGUUUUAAA